AACUUUCUCUUUUAUAAAUCCCUCCUCUUCUUCUCCUCUCCCUUCUUUUCAUGCCCAGAUGGACCGCUCUCUCGCUCCUUCUAUGUCCCAAGCUCCACACCCUUCUGCCGAGGAAAGCGGCUGGACUUCUUACUUGCAAGAUCUCUCCAACGCUUCCUGUUUCAGCGUUGGUGGCUCUUCUCUGCUCUCAGAUGCUGCUUCUUCUGCUGCUUGGAAAUUCUCGCACCCCCAUCAUCUUCCUCGUAAGCUCACUUUCAAGAAAUCUAGAACCAAACAGAUAUCUCAGGAUGACCCUCUCGAGGACACUGCUAGCUCCCCCGUCAAUAGUCCCAAGGUUGGGAACUUGCAUCCGACUGAAAAGAUUUCCAGAAAGGUUGAUGAUCUUCAACCGGAUGUUGCUGCUUCUAUGGCCAAGGAAUUCAGAGGAGCAGAACAUUAUUCAGAGUCGGUGAAAGAUGAUGAUGAAAGAAGAAGGGAGUUUAAAGGCAGAGAGUACUAUUGACUGCACAGACUUGAAGGAAAGGGGACUCUGCUUGGUUCCUUUGUCCAUGCUGGUUAAUUAUUUUGGCUAAGUCAUACUUGUCUGUCGACUUGAUCAAACAAAGAGAAAGAAGAAGACAAGUUGAUUAAGAUGAUAUAGUUUGGGCACUUUUGAGGCAGCUAUUGGAUGCAGGUAACUAAAUGGUAGGGAAGUGAAGUGAAGAACAAGGUGGAUCACAAGAUAUAACAAGUCCCACUUGCUUAGAUUUAUUUGUGUAUGGGGGAGAUUCAUUUCAUAAUGUUUCAUCACUCUUCACUUUAACUUUGCCUAAGCAUAAGAAUAGGAACUUGGAAAAAAAAAAAAAAUACACAACCCAAGAUAGUACGGUGUUGGCAGUUAUUGAAUCUGUCCUAGAUAUCAUGUCGAAUAACUGAUAUGAUUAUCACAA